rnacentral:rRNA from 1 species
UUGGAGGGCAAGUCUGGUGCCAGCAGCCGCGGUAAUUCCAGCUCCAAUAGCGUAUAUUAAAGUUGUUGCAGUUAAAAAGCUCGUAGUUGAAUUUCGGGGUUAGUAGGUUGGUCGUGCCUAUGGUAUGUACUGGCUUUACUGAUUCCUCCUUCUUGAAGAACUGUAAUGUCAUUAAUUUGGUGUUGCAGGGAAACAGGACUGUUACUUUGAAAAAAUUAGAGUGUUUAAAGCAGGCUAACGCUUGAAUACAUUAGCAUGGAAUAAUGAAAUAGGACGUUUGAUCCUAUUUUGUUGGUUUCUAGGAUUGACGUAAUGAUUAAUAGGGAUAGUUGGGGGCAUUAGUAUUCAAUUGUCAGAGGUGAAAUUCUUGGAUUUAUUGAAGACUAACUACUGCGAAAGCAUUUGCCAAGGAUGUUUUCAUUAAUCAAGAACGAAAGUUAGGGGAUCGAAGACGAUCAGAUACCGUCGUAGUCUUAACCAUAAACUAUGCCGACUAGGGAUCGGAUGAUGUUAAUUUUUUAAUGACUCA